GUUAACCCAUCUGCCCACUUCGGUUUUUUUCUUCUGCUUCCGUUACCUUUUAUCUCCCACGUUGAAUUCAAAAUUUUGAAUUCCAGAUCUUGCAAAACCAUCUUCAAGCUUUAUGAUGGAUCAUCUCACCAAUCAUUCCUCAGGCAUGUGUGCUUCGUAGUAGGCAUAGUUUAUACCUGUUUCCUUAUCCGCUCUUCGAAUUUCUCUGGUGUUCUCAUGGCUUCGAUCUCCUCUGCCUGUCCCCUGCUAAGAAUUGAACACAUGUGUUUUCUGAAUUGCUCCGUGCUCCAUCUGCCUACACUCACGCGGGCUGUUACAUUCUCUCCCCUCCAUUUAUUAUUCCAAAAUCACUUUCGAUCUCCAGGAUAUCAGAGAUUAGUCACCGGGGAAGACAGGUUGCAGUGGAUCAGUUAUGGCUGUGUUCGUUUUUGCGUGGCCAACGACGGACAAGCCACCCUCUCCACCACGUAUUCUUCCCCCGUCGACAAAUAUUGCAAAGUGGAUUCCUAAACUCAAAUUUGGUGAAAGUGUAAAUUUUGUAAUGUGCCGUGUUAAAUGAUGGGAAACCGGAACUUCAAGCAGUUGCAACUGGAUAAGCAAGUUUGCCUCAAAGUAUAAUUGAAUGGAGUUUGAUUGAUUCCUUGACGUGGCCAGUUUUUAGAGCCUAUUAUAUGAUGAUGAUGAUGGGCAAUACUGAGGGGCCUAAAUGAAAAGGGUUUUACGUGGAUGAUUCUUCUGAUACAUCUACGUGGCUUUACUAAGUCUACUAAAGCAGGAGUAUGGGCAUGAUCUAAUCCAAAACGACCUACCACAUGUCUUGCAAAGACAUAUGGACGGCCAAUGUAGCUUUGGUUGCAGUUUGUCGAGGCUGGCCUGCAUUUUCUUUCAUCCAAGUCGACAUAAAAGCAUGGAUCUGGCUUGGUGAGUACUGAACUCUCCUUUAGUUUUAAAUGUUUCUAUAGGAAACAUAUAUAUUAUUUUGCAGCAUUCCCGAACACUUUUUUGGCCUUUCUGUCCAUCACUAGAACACAUGUUUAUUUUAUCCAAUUUUGUUGAUAUUACAUCAUUACAAGCAGGUUUUAUGUUAAAAAAUAUAUCCAGACCAAGCCAUUUCUAUAGUGUAGCCCAUAAAAUUUUUGAACUUGCAGUUAAAGAUUAAAGAUCAGAUGAGUGGAAGCUAUUACAAAAUUUUGAAUUGCAUCAAGGUCCAUUGCUAUCUGCAAAUGGUCUUUUUUUUUUAAUACAUCUACACAAUUUCAACGAUUUCUAUAUUGCAGUUCAUGAUAUUCAGUCUGUCAUAGGUCAAGAUUUUGUACCUAAUAAUGUGGACAUGGGAAUGUACAAUGUGUUGCUGUCAGACAUGGAAAUGCAUCAAAUUAAUGUUGUUAAAAUGGUUGAUAUUGCUAAGGCCUGUCCAAGGCAGGCCUGCUGCUUAUACACAACCAAGAAUUUUGGGUGUGAGCUUGGAGCUCAGUUUAAAUAUGCCGAGAAAACUUCAAUUUUAUAUGAUAACGGAGCUCAUGAAUGCAAAACUUGAUGGCUUACGGGAACUUUAUUAAGAAAUAUGUCAGGAGAGGCUUUGGAUCAGUCGUGGAAGAAGCUGAAAAAGCAAGGUAUAAUCAGAAAGGAAGCACUAAAGAUGUCUUCUUUAAAGCAGUUAGCAAGAAGAAAGUAAAUGUAUUUGAUGAGAAUAUUACACUUCUUUUGCAAAAGUUCCACAGUGAGUGGCGGGAAGAUAUUCAGAAAGAAAGUACAGAGUACUUUGCCCAGAUUUAAACCAUGACAUGGGACACGGCGAGUCAGGAAAAUGAACUUAUGAAGCCUCUUGCAGUUAUCAACUUGAAGGCUGCAUGGCUUUCUUAUGACAUGAGAAUGGUGUAGGACGCGUCAUCUUGGCUAUUAGACAAAUUCAAUGGUAUAACUAGAGGCAUGUUAGUACAGACUGCAGGAGUGUUAAUUCAGGGGUGGCGAUGAACUGGAACUCAAGAAAUGUUAAUACAAGGGUGGUGAUGAGUUGAAGCCCAAAUCUAACUCAGAAAUGCCAAAAGGCAAGAGCAAAGAUUUCGAAAAACAUUUCGGGACACAACUCUGAUCCUCAAGUUAACAACCAAAGGUGGCAAGCACUUCCACAUGGCAAGCUCAGAAGAAUAAAUGUUGACGCCUCCGUAUGCUUAAAGUUUUUUUAUUUUUUGGUUGUUAUGCUACUAAGAGAUAAAGAUGGAACAUUUAUGUGAGGAAAAAUUCAUACAGUUCAAAAGAAAACAAUCUCAGUGUUUGAAGCAAAAUAACAUUCAGGAUAAAUGAGGUAUUUUCUUGGAUUUCUUCUCUACAAAUUAAGGAUGUAAUUGUUGAGACGGGCUCCUUAUUGUCCAUUUGACCUGUGGCGUUAAAGUCUGUAAUCUGUAGGAAGUGGGCAAGGUAGUAGGUACCUACAGGUUGGAACUUCAAAAUUCUUUGACCAUAACAUUCUUAGUGAUCAUUUAACAUGAUAUCCUGGAAGCGGGAGGAGAAAAAGCACAGGAAGUUGUAUUUUUAGUUCAAGCACUUUAAAUUUCUAACUUUGUUUAUAUUGGAAUUCUUGCAUUUUCUGUGUUUUUUAUCUGGAUUGCUUCUGUUUUUAUCAUAAAAGACAUCAACAGCAGCGCAGUAUCUGCGAUGCAGUCUUUGUGGGAGAAAAGUGUAUUGAUGCUGGAAAUCACAGGACUCCGCUUUGGAUUGAUUGGAUUAUUCUGCCUGGCAUUUUUGUUUCUGCCAGUUUCAAGAGGAUCGAUACUUCUCAGACUUAUAGACAUCCCUUUUCAGCAUGCAGACCGGUACCAUGUAUGGUUGGGACAUUUAACUAUGGUGAUAUUCAGUCUUCAUGGCCUAUUUUAUGUGAUUGCUUGGACAAUGAAGGGGACUGUCAUACAAGAAAAUAAAGCCUGCUGCUACUGUUAGUCUGCUAAACCGUCACACAUAUCAUGGAAGUCAUGCUUCUCCCAAUAAUAGGACUAAUUCUGAGGAUGUUUGUGCAAAAGGGAAUGGUCCGGAUUUAGACAUUACUAUUCUGGUGCCGGUUUGGAACAAAUUGGUGUUCCACGUCUAGCCUGGUAUGCGGAGAAAUCAGUUCCUGGCGUGAAAAACUUGAUCGCGUCAUUCAAUUUUGUUGGGGAGGACAGAUCAUUAGGACAUAAAGAAACAGGUCGUACACAGGAUUGUCAAUGAAGUCAAGUUCUUCGGCAUCAUGUUACCAAAACAACAUGUGAACAGAAAUGUUCCUGGCAUUUUUGAUACUCCCUGUUCUGAAACAUUUGACACCCAUGAGUUUCACUGUCACCUCCCAUAGUAGCAUAUAGUACUCUAAUUUUCUCGCUUAAUGGUGAAUCUGACAAUACAUUUUCGUCAGAUGAUGUUGCUGCUACAGUCCAAGAAGGUCACUGUCAGUAUACAGAACAUGAUGAAACUGAUAGCAAAGCGGAGAUGCCAGACUUCUGGAAAGGUUAUAUGGAUCUUGGUCCGCACUCCGCCCGCCAAAGUCUGUUCAAAAUGUGAGACUGUAAUGUGGAAUGAGGAACGCAAUAAUAAAGCCGCACAACACAGUGAUCCUACCUUUUCGAUUUGUUGUAGAAAUGGUUAAGUAGAUUUCAUACUGAGAAGCAACCUCCUCCUUAUUUGGCUUCAUUAUUAUCUGGAGGCGAGAAAACAACUCAUUUUUUGAAUAAUAUAAGAACAUACAACUCCAUGUUCCAGUUCAUAUCUAUCGGUGGUAAGAUAGAUAAGAAGAUCAACAACGGCAAAGGUCCUUAUUGCUCCAAACUAAAUUUUCUGAAAGUUCAGGUCCUGCCAUCUGCUUCGAAGUUGCAACUUCUACUAAUUUGAUGUCCGAGCUUGAGCAGGAGAUUUUGCCUCUAGAGCAGAUGAACUUAUUUCAAAUAGUUAAAUGGAAUCCGAGAUGCAAGCUAUAUCAGGUCAAAUGCAAUAUGGAGCAUUAAUGUGAUACUACAGGAGCAUCUUUAAAACUGAUAGUAUGUUUAACAUUUUUUUAUUACAAGGUUUUUGCUGGAUUAGAUACUUGAGCAAGAAAUGUCAAUAGUCUGAAUAAGUAUAAAUCUUUAUUCUUUUGAAUCAAUUUUUACAGCAGAUCAUUAUAGAUAUAUGUGAAUUAUUCAUCG